rnacentral:rRNA from 1 species
UCGGAUAAAAGGUACGCCGGGGAUAACAGGCUUAUCUCCCCCAAGAGUUCACAUCGACGGGGAGGUUUGGCACCUCGAUGUCGGCUCGUCACAUCCUGGGGCUGAAGCAGGUCCCAAGGGUUCGUCUGUUCGCCGAUUAAAGUGGCACGCGAGCUGGGUUUAAAACGUCGUGAGACAGUUUGGUCCCUAUCCUAUGCGGGCGCAGGAGAUUUGAUGGAAGUUGUCCCUAGUACGAGAGGACCGGGAUGAACGAACCUAUGGUGUUCCGGUUGUCACGCCAGUGGCACCGCCGGGUAGCUAUGUUCGGCAGGGAUAAGCGCUGAAAGCAUCUAAGCGCGAAGCCCCUCUAAAGAUAAGAUCUCCCUGGCUUUAACGCCCUAAAGAGUCCUGGAAGACUACCAGGUUGAUAGGCCGGAGGUGUAAGCAUGGCGACAUGUUCAGCUGACCGGUACUAAUCACUCGUGAGGCUUGGUCUU